CCUAACACAUGCAAGUCGAACGGUAACAGGAAACAGCUUGCUGUUUCGCUGACGAGUGGCGGACGGGUGAGUAAUGUCUGGGAAACUGCCUGAUGGAGGGGGAUAACUACUGGAAACGGUAGCUAAUACCGCAUAACGUCGCAAGACCAAAGAGGGGGACCUUCGGGCCUCUUGCCAUCGGAUGUGCCCAGAUGGGAUUAGCUAGUAGGUGGGGUAACGGCUCACCUAGGCGACGAUCCCUAGCUGGUCUGAGAGGAUGACCAGCCACACUGGAACUGAGACACGGUCCAGACUCCUACGGGAGGCAGCAGUGGGGAAUAUUGCACAAUGGGCGCAAGCCUGAUGCAGCCAUGCCGCGUGUAUGAAGAAGGCCUUCGGGUUGUAAAGACU
rnacentral:rRNA from 1 species